rnacentral:lncRNA from 1 species
AUGACUUCUCGUGGUGGUAAUUGGUUUAGAAAGAAACAAUGAAGACAGAUUUUAUGGGAUCUUUAUAUUGAUGAUAAGACAGAAAACUAAACUGUUUCUGUUUUGCUGUGUAUAAAGCUUCUUUAUAUUAACUAGGGAUUUUGUCCUUAGAAAGUGAAAAAAUAUUUGCUACUAAGACUAUGGAUAUCUAGGAAGUUCACUUAUUUCUUAUCCCAAGUAAUAUUAUUGCAGGUACCUGAAUAUUGAAACUCUCCAUUAUUUUCAUAAUUUUUUUCCUUCAUUAUGAACUAAUUGUUGGUAUGAGGUUGCUAUUAAAAGCAAUAAAGCUGAUCUUGUAACCCACUUACCUACUAUUAUAUUAGGAUAAGUUCGAGAGAAGAAUUGGGUCAGUUUUGUAUGCCCAACUUUGUAAUUUUUUUCUCCUUGGACAUGCUAUACUUUGACUACUCCUGAGAUAUAAUGUGAACAUUUUGUUACGGUGGCAAGCUGAGUGAGAGAUAUUCUUCUAUAUCAUUAGAACAAAUCAACGAAGGCAUAACGUGCCAUUGGGGGUGGCAAAAGCACGUCAUACUAUGUGAUGGAAGGCAAGGUAGUUGUUAGUCCCCUUUUUUCUGCUUUAAGAAAAAUAUAGAACUAUAUUGAUACAUAUAUGAUCGUUGACUUUGUUUUCGUGUAAAUGAUUUAUUUUCUAUAUACGAUUUCAUUGAUUUGCAAUACCAUCAACUGACAACAAGUUCUUUAGGUUAAUGGGGUAAGGUUCAUGUUGAGACUAGACAAGUUCUCUUUUGGAUAACCUUUAGUGUGCAGAAGGAAUUGGGUCUUUCCUUUAGCAGACACGCUAAGGAUUCUCGGUGUCAAUCUGUGCAUCAUUUAAAUAUGAAAUUUCAAUCAUACCCAGAUUAUCGCCCUACCUAGCUAGUAAAUCAAACUCCAAUGAAUAAGGAUCCAAUCAUCUAUGUCUGAGUUUAGCAUUUGGGUUUUGAGAUGUUAUACAGUCAAUUAAGGGGAUGGAUCUAAUCCAAUAAAAAAAAGGUUUCCUUUAGGAAAAUAAAUUAGAAAAAUAGGAUUCAAAAGGCAGGUACAAUAAAAAUUUCGUAAUCCAGGUCCUUCCCUUUUUAUUCUUCUUUUAUGCGAGUUGCAGUCCUUUAUGUAAACCUCAUAAUUAGAGGCAAGGGAAAUCUAUUGAUCAAGCCAACUAGUUUACCUAGAUGUAAUUUCUUUCCUUUAAAUUUUAGAUGAAAUCAUAGUCUUUUAUAUUGCCCCAUGACUUCCAUUCAAUCUGAGAUUUAACCUUGGUAAAACACAGUUCCAAUCUUUCUUCUUGGUGUCUUCUCUUUUUUCCAGACUAUGCUUAAGUUUGUUAGGCAUCCGCAUUGCAUUAAUGCCUUCUAACAAGCCUUUGGUAGGAUAAAAUUAUCGGCCAAAGGCAAUUACAUUUUGUUGCUAAAAUAAAUAUGCUCUUGUGACAAAUUGAUUGGAGUUCAAACAAUUAGGUAGCUUUUACUUAAACACAAACAACUUGUUCUUAUUUCUUUGCUUCGUUCUUGAAACCUACCGCAAAAAUGGUUGGUUUUCCUAAUUUUUCACGCUCUUGCUACAGUUGAAUGAUCCUCUUUGAAUAAUUUUCCAACCCAAGGGUAGCUGUAAUUUCUCAAAGCUAUUUAUAACAUUGUAAUAUUGCGGCCAAGGUGGUCGAAGAGUAGAGUUUUGGUGGUCGAAAAGUGGUGACUCUAAUACUUUCGACCAUUUUUUGUAUUUGGUCAUCCCAUUUUGGCUUGAAUUUUCGACCAAAUCAGUUGGUGUUAUGGCCAGAGUUUGGGUGGGUUGCGAAGAGGGAAGUGAGGACUUCAAGGUGAUAUGUCGAUCCGACGACCAAGGUGGCCGGAGGGUGGAUUUUGGUGGUCCAUAAAUGGUGACUCUAAGGUGAUUUAGGGGUUGGAAAGUUCAGCGACUUCUAGAAAAUUUUUUGUAAAGUUCAAUGACUAUUUAGGUGAUUUUUAAAGUUCAGUGACUUUAAAAAACUUUUUGUAAAGUUUAGUGAUCAUUUGGGUAAUUUUUAAAGUUCAGUGAUCCCUUGAAAAUCUUUUACAAAAUUCAAUGACUUUUGGCGUAAUUAACCCAAAUCUUGGAUUUGAUAGUUGAAAUUUGCUAUUUUUACACUGAUUUAUGACGUUUGCAUUAUUAUCAAGUGUCAAUUAGAUAAAAAAUUAUUUGAAAUUUAAACUAUUCAAUAAAAUAGGGGUACCUGAUAAAGUGUAAAUUAAAGUGCAUAUUCAUCAAGGUUGUUUGAUAGUUAACGCUUGGUAUACCCUCUUUUGGUGAAUUCUAAACAAUCCAAAAUUGGUGCCAAAAUAACGAAGUGCCGCCCAAAAUCAAUCAAAAUCUGUGGAAAAUACUGCCAAAAGGCCCUAAUAGGUUGUGUGAAUUCUAGAGGCGUUAAAGAAAAGAUUCUUGAUUGACUCGCUAGCAAUCCUAUUGUUGACCCAUACGGGUCUAAUGGUAGAAAAUGCGUCUUAGAGAUGCUUGGUAGGUGUUUGAGAAAAUGGAUGAGAGAUAUGUGAUUUUAUUUAAACGGUUUGUUGGUGGGUACGCUAGAAGUCGGCAUCGCGACGAUGGUUGAAUGAUCCUCUUUGAAUAAUUUUCCAACCCAAGGGUAGCUGUAAUUUCUCAAAGCUAUUUAUAACAUUGUAAUAUUCUUGUUCACACGAAAAAGAAAAUGUUGUUUGUUUGGUUGUAGGAUGUAAAAUACGUCGGUAGGAGAGAGAUAUGUGAUUUUAUUUAAACGGUUUGUUGGUGGGUACGCUAGAAGUCGGCAUCGCGACGAGACACUACAGUUGUAUGGGAAGAUGCCGUGGGUUGGUUGGCGUGGGAAAUGACCUGAUGAGUAUACUUCCCCUCAUAUUUUCAACAGUUGCGGCGGUUUGUGGCCUGUGGGAUCCGGAGAGGGAAUUCAUGGUCAUUUGAUAAUGUUUGAAUUCGUUGUUGUAAUUUGUAAAUGCUUUAAUCCUUAUUUUUGCCAAGCGGCAUCUUGGGCGUGCGAGGAUGGUGUGCAGUGGGAUGUUUUAGGAUCUCGUAGAAAAUGAUGAUCUUGGUGCAUUUGGAGGAUGGACAGUAUUUGGUAGGAUUGAGGUUGUUCUUUCGACGAAUAAGUGCUGUUUUAACCAUUUUUACUAAUUCUGAUGCAGCAUCCUCCGCAGAGGGACUGCAUUGUUGGAUUUGGCUGCUCUUAUGGGGGUGCUUACAUCCUACAAUCAAACAAAUAAGAACUCUCCGGAAAUUUCUGCUUUAGGUUUAACCUACUAAGUUCAAAAAAUUAUACCCGUUUACUGGUUAAUUUCUUUCCAUUUUCUGGAUUAUAAGUAUUGAAAGUUGAUUUUUGAAUUUAUUUUAAUCUCCAGUACUAUCAGAUUAGAAGGUAAAUUAUAGCUGUUUUGCAUACCAGCUCUAAAAUUUCUUAUAGAAGGAAGGCAAAUCAACGAAAGAAUUUAGCAUAUUUCGGUUCUUACGCCGGAUUAUUACAUUUCUCUUUCAUGUAGUUAAAUUAAUUUUAUAUUGUUGUUACUUCUUUUUCUUGUUUCUCGCUGAAGUUAUAUCCAUAUCAAUUUAUUUCAUUUUAACUUGAACUCCAUGUUUUGGCACAUUUUGUAUUUCAAAAUGAAACAGCACAUCCCAAGGUUCUUGGUAAAUAUUCGUUUGUGGAGAAACAGUAAUUGGCCAUGAAUGGUUUAUGAAUUAUAUGCAGGCUGGAGCAAAUUACUACUACGUUAUCUUUAACAAUAUUGUGGUAUAUCUGGAUAGGUAUUUAAAAAGGUUCUUGUGAUCUUAAUGUAAUAAGAUAUGGUGUUUAAUCAUUAAAAAUAAUUAAAGAUAAUGUAAUUGGGUAGCUUAUAGGGACGACCUAUAGUUUUGCAUGUGAGAUGACUUCUCGUGGUGGUAAUUGGUUUAGAAAGAAACAAUGAAGACAGAUUUUAUGGGAUCUUUAUAUUGAUGAUAAGACAGAAAACUAAACUGUUUCUGUUUUGCUGUGUAUAAAGCUUCUUUAUAUUAACUAGGGAUUUUGUCCUUAGAAAGUGAAAAAAUAUUUGCUACUAAGACUAUGGAUAUCUAGGAAGUUCACUUAUUUCUUAUCCCAAGUAAUAUUAUUGCAGGUACCUGAAUAUUGAAACUCUCCAUUAUUUUCAUAAUUUUUUUCCUUCAUUAUGAACUAAUUGUUGGUAUGAGGUUGCUAUUAAAAGCAAUAAAGCUGAUCUUGUAACCCACUUACCUACUAUUAUAUUAGGAUAAGUUCGAGAGAAGAAUUGGGUCAGUUUUGUAUGCCCAACUUAGUAAUUUUUUUCUCCUUGGACAUGCUAUACUUUGACUACUCCUGAGAUAUAAUGUGAACAUUUUGUUACGGUGGCAAGCUGAGUGAGAGAUAUUCUUCUAUAUCAUUAGAACAAAUCAACGAA